GUCGAACGGUAACAGGUCUUCGGAUGCUGACGAGUGGCGAACGGGUGAGUAAUGUAUCGGAACGUGCCCAGUAGCGGGGGAUAACUACGCGAAAGCGUAGCUAAUACCGCAUACGCCCUACGGGGGAAAGCAGGGGAUCGCAAGACCUUGCACUAUUGGAGCGGCCGAUAUCGGAUUAGCUAGUUGGUGGGGUAACGGCUCACCAAGGCGACGAUCCGUAGCUGGUUUGAGAGGACGACCAGCCACACUGGGACUGAGACACGGCCCAGACUCCUACGGGAGGCAGCAGUGGGGAAUAUUGGACAAUGGGCGCAAGCCUGAUCCAGCCAUACCGCGUGGGUGAAGAAGGCCUUCGGGUUGUAAAGCCCUUUUGUUGGGAAAGAAAAGCAUUCGGUUAAUACCCGAUUGUUCUGACGGUACCCAAAGAAUAAGCACCGGCUAACUUCGUGCCAGCAGCCGCGGUAAUACGAAGGGUGCAAGCGUUACUCGGAAUUACUGGGCGUAAAGCGUGCGUAGGUGGUUGUUUAAGUCUGUCGUGAAAGCCCUGGGCUCAACCUGGGAAUUGCGAUGGAAACUGGGCGACUAGAGUGUGGCAGAGGGUAGUGGAAUUCCUGGUGUAGCAGUG
rnacentral:rRNA from 1 species